UACGAAGGGUGCAAGCGUUACUCGGAAUUACUGGGCGUAAAGCGUGCGUAGGUGGUGAGUUAAGUCUGUCGUGAAAGCCCCGGGCUCAACCUGGGAAUGGCGAUGGAUACUGUCUCGCUAGAGUGCGGUAGAGGGUGGUGGAAUUCCCGGUGUAGCAGUGAAAUGCGUAGAGAUCGGGAGGAACAUCAGUUGCGAAGGCGGCCACCUGGACCAGCACUGACACUGAGGCACGAAAGCGUGGGGAGCAAACAGG
rnacentral:rRNA from 1 species